rnacentral:tRNA from 1 species
GUGUAGCUCAGUGGUAGAGUGCUUGCCUAGUGUACAUGAGAUCCUGGGCUCAAUCCCCAGCAC